rnacentral:rRNA from 1 species
GGGUCAGUAGGUUGGUCGUGCCACCGGUACGUACUGGUCUCACUGAUUCCCCCUUCCUGAAGAACCGUAGUGCCAUUAAUUUGGUGUUGCGGGGAAACAGGACUGUUACUUUGAAAAAAUUAGAGUGUUUAAAGCAAGCUAACGCUUGAAUACAUUAGCAUGGAAUAAUGAAAUAGGACGAUCGAUCCUAUUUUGUUGGUUUCUAGGAUUGACGUA